GAAUGUGCUACUUGCCCAGAAACCCCAAAAAGCAAAUGGAUGCUGGCCAUAUUUUGCUUUUCUGACAUUUCCUUGGGAAUCUACAAGAACCUCCCUUAUUCCCCUCCCCUAGUAAGACCAUUUAAGUGUGUGUUAAACAACUACAGAAUACUAAAUAAAACGUUUGGCCAAAACCAACCAUGAAGCUGCAGAAACGAUGCUUGCUCUUACUGUUUCAAAUUUUUGCAACUCUGUAGUGUCUCACUUUUAAAGGAACAGCUUGAUUGCAAAGGAGAAAAUAGAUAAGCAAUGAAGUUAUCUCCAACUUCCUAAAGGCUUAUGACUUCUAAAAAGUGAAUCUAUCCGCAUUCCACAUCAGAUUUAAAGCACCAAAUGCCUGUGAAACAGCAGAGAUGGUUGAUCCCAAUGGUCAUACUGUCACGGAGUGCUGAUUGGUUCACAGCAGAUUAAGUUGGCCGGAAGAAAAAGUCAAAUGCUCAGAGUUGUUGAAGCAGAGGAGAGCUGAGGCUAAGCUGCAGCAGUUACAUACCCAGUGCCCGUCAGAAUUGGUUUGGUACAGGCAAUAUAGGAUUUUCCUGUCCUCAAGGGAGGGAGGCAUCAGUGUUGGUUAGACCUUAGUUAGGGAGUGGUGAUUGCUUAAAACUGACCAAAUGAAGAGAGGGAGACAAAGAAAUUGGUAAGUGGAGGUACCUACCCAAGAAGUUCUCAUGGCUCUUUGUGUAGAUUCAAUAGUUUAGGCAAAGUAAUGGGACAACUCUCCUGAUGAUCACUGACUGUAGGAAAAUUGAAUUAGCCCGGGCUGUAACUCCACGGUGGCGUGCUUGUCUAAAUACCAGUGAAGCCUAGCGUUCAACCCCUAGAAUCACUCCCACACAGGAAAAGAACACUCAGUCAGAAACCUGAUGCUUCUGUGAUA